rnacentral:rRNA from 1 species
AAAUUGAAGAGUUUGAUCAUGGCUCAGAUUGAACGCUGGCGGCAGGCCUAACACAUGCAAGUCGAACGGUAACAGGAAGCAGCUUGCUGCUUCGCUGACGAGUGGCGGACGGGUGAGUAAUGUCUGGGAAACUGCCUGAUGGAGGGGGAUAACUACUGGAAACGGUAGC